CGACUAUUAUUAUGUUAUCGUCUAUUUGAACAAUGGAUACAUAACAAGUCCAUCUAAAGGAUGUAUAAUUCUACUUAUUUCAGGUCCCCAUCUCCACCACAUCGUCGUCGCAAUUCUCCAACUUGGCAUCGCGCCUCUCCAAACAGGCGCCGCCACAGAGGAUCUCCUUUACCAGCCCCUCGUCAACGCCCCUCACCAAGCCGUAGACAACCCUUACGUGCCUCUCCUUCUCCCCCACCACCUCGUCAACGCCAGCGGUCUCCUUCUCCAUCUCAGUCUCCGUCCCCGACACCGCCACAAAAAAUACGCCGUCGACAGCCUUCAGCCUCAUCUGAGUCUCCACCACAUGCAAUGAAGAGGCCAACCUGUCCAGUGUCAGUGUCUCCAAGGCCGAAACCUCGGCCCACUAGAGUUAGCUCUUCGUCACCCUCUCCCGUGCGCCCAGUCCCUGCACCCACAAAACGUAGUCGCAGUUCCCGGUCCCCUCUGGAUCUCCCACGUGCCGCCUCACGUUCAGCCUCGCCUCUCCCGCGGCCUCUUCUGCCUGUCACCACUUUUCGCGAUCGCAGCCCAUCUGUUUCACCAAGCCGGCCCCGCAAGUUAUCUCCUCCACGGCCACUACUACCCAACAAAAGCCCAUCUCCCAUCAGGCUGAGUCGAUCAGCCGAGCACAUCUCACCAGUUGGAAAGGCACCUUCCCAAUCCCCCUACCAAUCACCGAGCCAUGUGCUACCACUUGGUCCAGGCCUCCCGCAGCCCUUCUCCUGCCAAGGUCUCCGAUGCCGGGUCCAAGAAAAAGAAGAAGAAGAAGGAAAAGAAACACAAGCGUGAAAAGAAACACAAGAAGCACAAAAAGCACAAGAAGAGCCGUACGGCGGAGGUGGAAUCGGAGAGUGAAGGCGACGGGGGAAACCUGGACGACCUGGAAAAGCAGCUGCGUGAGAAAGCCUUGCGGUCAAUGCGAAAGUCCGCGUCUGAGGUCCAGGCCUUGUCGCCAUCCCCGUGAAAUCCACGUGGUCGAGGUGGCCAAAAGCUGCUUGGCUUGUUGAGCUCGCUGUAAAUAUAUCACGCCAGCGUACCGCGCCCACUUGACACUUCUCCUUUGAUCACCAAAUAUUUCGCUUCUCCAGAGUCGACAUCUCCAUUGGUCUCGUCAUGCAGUUGCAUCGUUUUGUUUUGGUCUUCAAUUUCAUCUCCAGAUGCAACCAACCAUCUCAGCUGUUUGAGGUCUGCGAUUUUGUUGACCUCGUCGUUUUGAAGGGUUGGUAACCCGAAGAUCUGGGGCUCAUCUUAGUCUUUCCUCGUUCGACGUGAUUUCAACCUGUCCGCCAUCGACCUGAGCCGAGAUUGGUUUUUUUUUUUUCCCCCUUUAUUUUUGUUUUUAUCUGUAACGAUGCUUCAACUUAUUUCUUUCUUGUUCACACAAUUGUUGCAGUUUCUGGAGUUUUAAUUUUGAUGUGGAAAUAAAAUUUAAAAAAUAGCUUCUGAAAUGGAAAUACAUAUUUGGGUAUUUUGCUCAAGGCAGAAGCUGUACCAUGCUGAGGUUUUUGUUCAAAACACAUUUUUGAAUAAACUGAGAUUCAAAACAUCUUUUUGUACCUGGUUUUCAAUUGCCGAGUGUCAUACAUGUGGAUUGUUCCUUUUUAUCUUGCCAAAACGAAGUUUUU
rnacentral:lncRNA from 1 species